rnacentral:rRNA from 1 species
AUUGAACGCUGGCGGCAUGCUUUACACAUGCGAGUCGAACGGUAACAGGCCUUCGGGUGCUGACGAGUGGCGAACGGGUGAGUAAUGCAUCGGAACGUACCCAGAGGUGGGGGAUAACGCAGCGAAAGCUGUGCUAAUACUGCAUGUGAUCUGAGGAUGAAAGCGGGGGACCGAGCAGCAAUGUUUGGCCUCGCGCCUUUGGAGCGGCCGAUGUCGGAUUAGCUAGUUGGUGGGGUAAAGGCCUACCAAGGCGACGAUCCGUAGCUGGUCUGAGAGGACGACCAGCCACACUGGGACUGAGACACGGCCCAGACUCCUACGGGAGGCAGCAGUGGGGAAUUUUGGACAAUGGGCGCAAGCCUGAUCCAGCAAUGCCGCGUGCGGGAAGAAGGCCUUCGGGUUGUAAACCGCUUUUGGCAGGAACGAAACGGUGUCCGCUAAUACCGGGCGCUAAUGACGGUACCUGCAGAAUAAGCACCGGCUAACUACGUG